rnacentral:lncRNA from 1 species
ACUUCAGGAGGGGAAGAGAGGAAGUGCGCUGGGCAAAGAGGAAACGAUGUCACAGGACACACUUUUGCUGUCUUUGCUGCUGUCGCCUAAGAGGUGGACACAGCUCCCGAGGACUUACGCUAGAAGCCAAGCCAGUCUCCUCACCUGAAAAAUGGGAAGAGCAAAAUAUCCUACCCUAGAGGGUUGCUGUGAGAGCCGAAAGCGUCUAUCCACGUGAAGCACAUGGGACAGAGCCUGGCACAAAGAAAAUGCUUCCCAGCAAUGGAAAGCCCUGAUGGAGCCCGGUGUAAACUAUGCAGGGUGCCAGAGCCCCCACUGACAGCGCUGGUGUCCACAUGUGGUCACAGGGAUACAGCGGCAGCAUCCCAAAGCCCUAGCCUGGUCCAUCACCCUCAAAACUGCCUCUGGUUUGUCCAAGUCUACCAGGAUUCAAGUUCAUUUCAGAAAAGCAGUGGCCAGAAACCAAGGCCUGGAGGGGGCUGGGGAGGUGUCAGGGAAGGGAUCAGAGGCCAAGCUCUGUGUUUCCUCAGACAAAGAGAGAAAGCAGGCUGAGAGAUGGCGGCAGCAUGUGACACCUGGGCCACAGGCCUGGGCAGCAGCCGUGGCAGCCAAGGGGAUAAUGGCUCUCUUUGUCCUGCGUGUAAAUUCUCCGGAAAAGAAAGGAUUCCAGGGCCUGCUUCUCCGGCUUGCACAAUGCUGGCCGCCUGGGGCCCCACUGCGAGGGCCUGCCAUGGCAUUCGGGGAGCAGUGAGGCCCCUUCUCUGUCUCGUUCCUUCCAGGCGUGCAGAAGCGGAAAGUCAGGCUGCCGUGCCAGACAUUCUGCAGGGGGUUGGGAGGCUGGGCUGAGGCACAGCCUGUGCCAGGAGCUUUGUUUCACAGCCUCGAGGAAACCAAAGCAUCUUGAAGCUCUGAAUUAGAAAGAGUCUUAGAGAGCAUCCAUGCCAGCUCUUCCUAAUACUUGUCCCACCCCCUACCUUCUCUGCCUACCACUCCCCACUCCCCUGCCUUCAGCAGCCAAGAAUGGUUACAAACACAGGCUUUGGAGUCAGAGAGGGCUGAGUUCAAAUGCUGACAAUGCCACUCACAAGCUAUUUCAUCUCUAUGGGCUUCAGUUUCUCCACCUGCAAAAUGGACAUAAUAGCACCUACUCAUAAGAUUGUCAAUAGGAAUAAGUGAGAAAAUGCAUGUACCAUGCUUAAUGUGGACACAGCCUCCAGAAGCGCUCAAUAAGGGUAGACGGUCCAGUAGGUCACCCAGCCUGUACUUGAUUUCCUCCAAGGGCAGGCAAUCACUGCUUGCAUUCCAUUUUCAGACCAAGUUCAAAUCUGUCUCUUAUACCCUCAUGGGUGCUGAGGGUAAAGGGGAGAGGGCCUACAUACAUUAAACAUUUCCUACAUGUUACUGUUGCCAUAAAUUACUCACAGAACUUAAGGGCCUGUCUUAGUCUAUUUGUGUUGCUAUAAAGGAAUACCCGAGGCUGGGUAAUUUAUAAAGACAAGAGGUUUAUUUGGC